AGCUUUGCGCAGUGGCAAUAUCAUAACCGAUGAGGGUCUACCGAGGUGUGAUUAUUGCUAGUUGAAAACUUAUACCAAUACCCCGCCACGUUGAAGUGAAAUAUUCUUCGACUUUGGCAAUUUUUGAUUGUCCUAAACGGA
rnacentral:snRNA from 1 species